rnacentral:miRNA from 1 species
CGCAAGGGACUACCAUGGCA